GAUGAAGAACGUAGCGAAAUGCGAUAAGUAAUGUGAAUUGCAGAAUUCAGUGAAUCAUCGAAUCUUUGAACGCAUCUUGCGCUCCUUGGUAUUCCUUGGAGCAUGCCUGUUUGAGUAUCAUGAGCAAAUCUCAAAGUCAAUUCCUUUUGUUAAUUCAAUUGGUUUUGCUUUGGACUUGGAGGUCUUGCAGAUUUUCACAGUCUGCUCCUCUUAAAUGCAUUAGCUGGAUCUCAAUAAUUAUGCUUGGUUCCACUCGGCGUGAUAAGUAUCACUCGCUGAGGACACUGUUAAAAAGGUGGCCAGGAAAAUACUGAUUGAACCGCUUCUAACGGUCUAUUAAGUUAGACAAUUACCCUUAAGUUUGAUCUCAAAUCAGGUAGGACUACCCGCUGAACUUAAGCAUAUCAAUAAGCGGAGGA
rnacentral:misc_RNA from 1 species